rnacentral:rRNA from 1 species
GAUGAACGCUGGCGGCGUGCUUAACACAUGCAAGUCGAACGAAGCAAUUUCACGGAAGUUUUCGGAUGGAAGUGGGAUUGACUGAGUGGCGGACGGGUGAGCAACACGUGGGUAACCUGCCUCACACUGGGGGAUAACAGUUAGAAAUAGCUGCUAAUACCGCAUAAGACCACAGCGUCGCAUGGCGCAGUGGUAAAAACUCCGGUGGUGUGAGAUGGACCCGCGUCUGAUUAGCUAGUUGGUGGGGUAAUGGCUCACAAAGGCGACGAUCAGUAGCCGGCCUGAGAGGGCGACCGGCCACAUUGGGACUGAGACACGGCCCAAACUCCUACGGGAGGCAGCAGUGGGGAAUAUUGCACAAUGGGCGAAAGCCUGAUGCAGCGACGCCGCGUGAGUGAAGAAGUAUUUCGGUACGUAAAGCUCUAUCAGCAGGGAAGAAAAUGACGGUACCUGACUAAGAAGCCCCGGCUAACUACGUGCCAGCAGCCGCAGUAA